GAUGAACGCUGGCGGCGUGCUUAACACAUGCAAGUCGAACGAAGCACUUUAUUUGAUUUCCUUCGGGACUGAUUAUUUUGUGACUGAGUGGCGGACGGGUGAGUAACGCGUGGGUAACCUGCCUUGUACAGGGGGAUAACAGUUGGAAACGACUGCUAAUACCGCAUAAGCGCACAGCAUCGCAUGAUGCAGUGUGAAAAACUCCGGUGGUAUAAGAUGGACCCGCGUUGGAUUAGCUAGUUGGUGAGGUAACGGCCCACCAAGGCGACGAUCCAUAGCCGACCUGAGAGGGUGACCGGCCACAUUGGGACUGAGACACGGCCCAAACUCCUACGGGAGGCAGCAGUGGGGAAUAUUGCACAAUGGGCGAAAGCCUGAUGCAGCGACGCCGCGUGAGCGAAGAAGUAUUUCGGUAUGUAAAGCUCUAUCAGCAGGGAAGAUAAUGACGGUACCUGACGAAGAAGCACCGGCUAAAUACGUG
rnacentral:rRNA from 1 species